rnacentral:rRNA from 1 species
UGGGCGCAAGCCUGAUCCAGCCAUGCCGCGUGAGUGAAGAAGGCCUUAGGGUUGUAAAGCUCUUUUACCAGGGACGAUAAUGACGGUACCUGGAGAAUAAGCCCCGGCAAACUUCGUGCCAGCAGCCGCGGUAAU